AAUCACAUCUACAACGGAAUUUUUAAAUUUUAACCAUAAUAAAUAAUAGAGGACACCUUACACUGAUGAUAUCUAGGCUAACAAACACUAGUCUAAAUUGAAACAGUUUUGUUGAGGAUUUUGAAUAAUAACGAUCGAAUUAACGAAGUUUAGAUGUGUUGUGUUUGGAAUAUCUCAACAAAAAGAAAAAUGUAUUUCGAAUUAAAGAAAAAAGACGCUGAACUUUAAAGAUUAAGUGUAUCAUCCUUGGAGGGUUUGUUAGCCGGCGUGGAAGAAAGCUCUAACAACGACGAUAAGUGGGGAUGUGGAUUGAUGACAAAGAAGAGGAGGGUAAAAAGCGACUACGUUGUUGCAUACGCUGCACAUGCGCUUACAAAGAGACCAAACAAACAAAAACAAAAAAUAAAGAAAGAGAGAAGAUGAAGAAGAAAAAAAAAGAAUGGAGAGAAUUAAGAAGAACGUGACGACGACGACGGAGGAACAAAAAUACGCGUGUUUUUCGUAUCUCGUUGCGUGUUGUGUUGUGUUGGUUGUACUACGGUGUGUGGUGCAGGGUUAAUACUUCAAAAUCUUUUUAAAUAAAUAAUAUAAGUUAUUAAUUAAUUAAGUGAGAGAUUAUAAUUAAAUAAAUAAGUGCGAAUA